AUCAAGAUCGUUAGUAAGUU
rnacentral:miRNA from 1 species